rnacentral:rRNA from 1 species
GGCACAAGCGGAGGAGCAUGUGGUUUAAUUCGAUGAUACGCGAGGAACCUUACCUGGGCUCGAACGUAAGAUGACUGUAGGUGAAAGCUUACAUCUCUUCGGAGCAUUUUACGAGGUGCUGCAUGGUUGUCGUCAGCUCGUGCCGUGAGGUGUCGGGUUAAGUCCCAUAACGAGCGCAACCCCUACCUUUAGUUGCCAUCAGGUAAUGCUGGGGACUCUAAAGGAACUGCCUACGCAAGUAGUGAGGAAGGCGGGGAUGACGUCAAAUCAGCACGGCCCUUACGUCCAGGGCUACACACGUGCUACAAUGGCCGAUACAGAGGGCAGCUACCUGGUGACAGGAUGCAAAUCUCCAAAGUCGGUCUCAGUUCGGAUCGGAGUCUGCAACCCGACUCCGUGAAGUUGGAUUCGCUAGUAAUCGCGCAUCAGCCAUGGCGCGGUGAAUACGUUCCCGGGCCUU